rnacentral:misc_RNA from 1 species
GAAGAACAAUGGUGACUUUUCCUACCUGCAAGCCUUCCUUCCUAAUUUCUUGACUCCUCGACUUCAGCUCCUUGUCAACCCAACCUCUUUCCUAACUAUCGGUGAGGCCCAACAUUCCAAAGACCACAUAGUACUCCAUGCCCCCAUCCUCAACGUCACCCCUAGCUUUGUCUCUCUAGGAUCCACAAGGAGCCAUAGAUGUUGGGACUCGAGAACACAAAAGAAAACACAAAGGAGCUAUCCAUUUGUUUCCCAAUGAUUCCAUCAAUGGCAACUUGUCCUACAGAUCCUUACCAAUGAAGCGUGGCUGACAAUCUAAACUCUCUCCUCACCUUUCAACCUCUCAACACUCCAUCCCUCCUUCAAUUGCCUGGUUAUUGAUUCCUCUGCUGUAGUCUAGGAAUAGCAGGGUAUUGAGCUAGGGACUUGGUUUUGUUCCUAUGUGUUUUGUUGGGUUUGGGACUUGACUUUGUUGAGAUUUAGUGUUACUUAGCACAUUAAAACUUGGGUUUGUUGAAUUUGUCAAUUUUGUUAUGUUGAUC